GCCAGGCAUGGUGGCACCUGCCUGUAGUCUCAGCUACUCGGGAGGCUGAUGUGGGAGGAUCUCUUGAGCCCAGGAGUUCUGGACUGUAGUGCACUAUGCCGAUUGGGUCUGCACUAAGUUUGGCAUCAAUAUGGCGACUCCCGGGAGCGGGGGACCACCAGGUUGCCUAAGGAGGGGUGAACCGGCCCAGGUCGGAAACGGAGCAGGUCAAAACUCCUGUGCUGAUCAGUAGUGGGAUUGCGCCUGUGAAUAGCCACUGCACUCCAGCCUGGGCAACAUAGUGAGACCCCAUCUCU
rnacentral:SRP_RNA from 1 species